rnacentral:rRNA from 1 species
CCUACGGGAGGCAGCAGUGGGGAAUAUUGCACAAUGGGGGAAACCCUGAUGCAGCGACGCCGCGUGAGUGAUGAAGUAUUUCGGUAUGUAAAGCUCUAUCAGCAGGGAAGAUAAUGACGGUACCUGACUAAGAAGCUCCGGCUAAAUACGUGCCAGCAGCCGCGGUAAUACGUAUGGAGCAAGCGUUAUCCGGAUUUACUGGGUGUAAAGGGAGCGCAGACGGCAGGGCAAGUCUGAUGUGAAAGUCCGGGGCUCAACCCCGGGACUGCAUUGGAAACUGUCCGGCUGGAGUGCAGGAGAGGUAAGUGGAAUUCCUAGUGUAGCGGUGAAAUGCGUAGAUAUUAGGAGGAACACCAGUGGCGAAGGCGGCUUACUGGACUGUAACUGACGUUGAGGCUCGAAAGCGUGGGGAGCAAACAGGAUUAGAUACCCUGGUAGUC